rnacentral:rRNA from 1 species
UACAGAGGGUGCGAGCGUUGUCCGGAAUCACUGGGCAUAAAGGGCGCGUAGGCGGACUCUUAAGUCGGGGGGUGAAAGCCCAGGGCUCAACCCUGGAAUUGCCUUCGAUACUGAGAGUCUUGAGUUCGGAAGAGGUUGGUGGAACUGCGAGUGUAGAGGUGAAAUUCGUAGAUAUUCGCAAGAACACCAGUGGCGAAGGCGGCCAACUGGUCCGAUACUGACGCUGAGGCGCGAAAGCGUGGGGGAGCAAACAGG